rnacentral:rRNA from 1 species
AGCGAACCCUGGCGGCAGGCCUAACACAUGCAAGUCGAACGAAGUCUUCGGACUAAGUGGCGGACGGGUGAGUAACACGUGGGAACGUGCCUUUAGGUUCGGAAUAACGCAGGGAAACUUGUGCUAAUACCGAAUGUGCCCUUCGGGGGAAAGAUUUAUCGCCUUUAGAGCGGCCCGCGUCUGAUUAGAUAGUUGGUGAGGUAAAGGCUCACCAAGGCUACGAUCAGUAGCUGGUCUGAGAGGAUGACCAGCCACAUUGGGACUGAGACACGGCCCAAACUCCUACGGGAGGCAGCAGUGGGGAAUCUUGCGCAAUGGGCGAAAGCCUGACGCAGCCAUGCCGCGUGGAUGAUGAAGGUCUUAGGAUUGUAAAAUCCUUUCACCGGCGAAGAUAAUGACUGUAGCCGGAGAAGAAGCCCCGGCUAACUUCGUGCCAGCCGCCGCGGUAACAC